GAACGCGUCAUGUCACGUGAUAUCGAGGUGACUGUGACGAUGUGAAAAGGCUGAACGCUAUUGGCUGAAAUCGUUUCGAAUAUUUUUAUGCGCGGUGACUUGACUUAUCACUCUGCUGAGGCUUCGAUGAAACUCUGUGCAUAACAGAAUGUCUGCGGUAAACAACUCCAAUUUUCAAUAGAUAGAAUAAGUGGGUGGGCACAGUUUGUGUUGAACUUGUCCCAAGCUACAAUAUGUGGAAAACUUACAUUGUGUGGAGAGGUCUGGAGGUUUAAGCUUGCUGGUACAGGAUGUUGAUUUUCUUGAAAAUGAAGAUGAUCACAGUAUUGGGACCUAUAAGUGGAUAAUAGCAGAGGAACUAAAUGAGAGAAAUAUAGCAGAUGAGCAGUGCUGCAGUGAACAACUCAUAGAUUGUAAGUCCAUUCCAAUGAUGAACUCUGGAUUAUCACCAGAUCACAGUUCGAAUGAAAGCUUAAAUACACAAAAGCCAUGGCAGUGAUGGACUCUUUGUUACAGGAUUUUCAAUCUACAAAUACCAUUAGAUAGCAGAAAAGCUUGACAUUCAUUACAGCAUGCCUACUGCUCCUGCCAAAUGAAGAAUUCCCAUUCAAAAAACAAAAAAGGCGUACCUUGACUUUCUCAUUACGACUGUAUUUAUUUGCGACCUUUAGUAGUCAAUUUCGCCGAAUAUUUACUGUUUUAAUAAAUUGUUUAAAGCUUGAAAACCUGUUGUGGUUUCAUGCUUCCUUUGGGUGGUUAUAGUACGUUUCCAGGCUUGCAAGAAGGUUGAUCUUCCUAUCGAUUUGGGUGGGGUUGUUAGGGUGGAAAUGUUAAACACCUACCCAAAGGGUGGAAGAAGUAGAAAACCUUGUGAACCAA